UGUGGAGUGUCUGAUUUCCAGGUGCUAAUCCUCUCCGGCAGUAAAUUGCCUUGGCUGUGAUUGAAGGUUAUUGCUUGGAUUCCAGCAACUACCUCUGUUCCGGCAGCAACGUUACCGGUUGAGGCUUCAGAAUUAGGGUUUUGACACGAGACGAGCAUCUCGACGUCCGAGUUGGACCGGACUGAUCUUAUUUUCCU